GCCUAAUACAUGCAAGUCGAACGCACUCUCGUUAGAUUGAAGAAGCUUGCUUCUGAUUGAUAACAUUUGAGUGAGUGGCGGACGGGUGAGUAACACGUGGGUAACCUGCCCUAAAGUGGGGGAUAACAUUUGGAAACAGAUGCUAAUACCGCAUAAAACCUAGCACCGCAUGGUGCAAGGUUGAAAGAUGGUUUCGGCUAUCACUUUAGGAUGGACCCGCGGUGCAUUAGUUAGUUGGUGAGGUAAAGGCUCACCAAGACCGUGAUGCAUAGCCGACCUGAGAGGGUAAUCGGCCACACUGGGACUGAGACACGGCCCAGACUCCUACGGGAGGCAGCAGUAGGGAAUCUUCCACAAUGGACGAAAGUCUGAUGGAGCAACGCCGCGUGAGUGAAGAAGGUUUUCGGAUCGUAAAACUCUGUUGUUGGAGAAGAACGUAUUUGAUAGUAACUGAUCAGGUAGUGACGGUAUCCAACCAGAAAGCCACGGCUAACUACGUGCCAGCAGCCGCGGUAAUACGUAGGUGGCAAGCGUUGUCCGGAUUUAUUGGGCGUAAAGCGAGCGCAGGCGGUUUCUUAAGUCUGAUGUGAAAGCCUUCGGCUCAACCGAAGAAGUGCAUCGGAAACUGGGAAACUUGAGUGCAGAAGAGGACAGUGGAACUCCAUGUGUAGCGGUGAAAUG
rnacentral:rRNA from 1 species